rnacentral:rRNA from 1 species
UACGUAGGGGGCAAGCGUUGUCCGGAAUCAUUGGGCGUAAAGAGCGUGUAGGCGGCCCGAUAAGUCCGCUGUGAAAGUCCAGGGCUCAACCCUGGGAUGCCGGUGGAUACUGUCGGGCUCGAGUCCGGAAGAGGAGUGUGGAAUUCCUGGUGUAGCGGUGAAAUUCGUAGAUAUCGGGAGGAACACCAGAGGCGAGGGCGGCGACCUGGAAGGUGACUGACACUGAGCAGCGAAAGCGUGGGUAGCAAACAGG